rnacentral:rRNA from 1 species
UGGGGAAUAUUGGACAAUGGGCGCAAGCCUGAUCCAGCCAUGCCGCGUGAGUGAUGAAGGCCCUAGGGUUGUAAAGCUCUUUCACCGGUGAAGAUAAUGACGGUAACCGGAGAAGAAGCCCCGGCUAACUUCGUGCCAGCAGCCGCGGUAAUACGAAGGGGGCUAGCGUUGUUCGGAUUUACUGGGCGUAAAGCGCACGUAGGCGGACUAUUAAGUCAGGGGUGAAAUCCCGGGGCUCAACCCCGGAACUGCCUUUGAUACUGGUAGUCUUGAGUUCGAGAGAGGGGGGUGGAAUUCCGAGUGUAGAGGUGAAAUUCGUAGAUAUUCGGAGGAACACCAGUGGCGAAGGCGGCUCACUGGCGCGAUACUGACGCUGAGGUGCGAAAGCGUGGGGAGCAAACAGG